UUGUUUGAGCCUGAAAUAAGGCAAUUCAUGUAGUAAAAUUGAAAUUUUAGAAUACUUGGUGUGUAUAAGUUAAUCUAUGAGUGUGUUAGCUCAUUUUCCAGCAUGUUUUUCUCAAAAUUUUAAGUGUAUUAAUCAUUGGAGGACAAAAAUAGAUUCCAAAAUGCUAAAUAGCAAUCUUGAAAUAUGUCAGAUCUUAUUUUUUUUAAGAUUUAUUUGUUAAUUUGAAAGGCAGAGUUACAGAGAGUGAGGUCGGGGCACAGAGAAGGAGAGAGAUCUUCCAUCUGUUGGUUUACUCAUCAAACAUUCACAAUGGCCAGGGCUGGGUCAGGCUUAAGCCAGGACCCAGGAGCUUCAUUCAGGUCCCACACAUGGGUGCAGGGGCCAAAUACUUGUUCCAUCUCUGCUGUUUUCCCAGGCUCAUUAGCAGAAGUAGAGCAGUAGGACACGAACCGUUCCCCAUAUGAGAUGCCUGUGCUAUAGGUGAUAGCUUAACCCACUGUGUCACAGUGCCAGCCCCGUGUAAAAUAUUUAAGAUCUAGGAACUGGGUAUAAAGUUGUGUCUUGGUACCAGCACGGCACUAAUUUACUUUGUAAUCUGUUGGUGACAGAUAAUUCUCUUAUCUCUAGAAAACACUGAUUAAACUCCUCUAACAAUGUAUUAUUUCCUGGUUUCCUUCCGAAAUUCUGCAUUGAUCACCAAUUAUGUGGCAGGCACUCUUUGAUGAAACAUCUACAAUGAUGAGAAACACAUUCCCAGAACAUUAAAAAUGUCUUAUAACUUGUAUACGAGGUCAAAGAAAUCUGUUGCUACUGGCUACACAGCAGUAGUUCAGUUUUAUUCCCCAGGAAACUAACAAAUGAUGAAAAAACUGGAGUUUUCAUCCCAGUGAUGCAUAGUUAAUUGCGUAUAAAAUAAUAAACCACUACAAGAAAAAGAUAGUUCUUGGAAAUGGAAAGGACAAAAGUUACAACUCCUAAAAUACAAGAUGGAAAUAUAAAGAAAAAUAUCCUGCUAAUAUUCUCACCACUAACCAAUAGCCACUUCAGGACUCAAAUCAGGUCUCUUGCGUCUUUUACUCUUUCCCUUAUACUCCUUCAAGAAUUCCUAGUUGUUCUAGCACAUUUACAGGCCAGGAAUAAUCUGGUAAGCCUACAAAGAUUUAUUGAACACAGAAUUUUUCUGAAUCCGAUCUGUGGCUGCAAAAUAAGGUGCAUCCCACUGUUCUACUUGCAUAGCAUGUUCCUAUUUUAAAGCGUAUGAAUCUAGUGCUUGGUUUUGCAUGUCAAUGCAUAGAGGUUAUCAGAUAGAUGGAUUAACUUAUCACAGCUCACUUCAGUAAAAGUAUUUCAUCCUCCAUCACCUAGAUUUCACAAGAAAAUGACCAUUUCUUUCACUGAGUCCACUGGCCCAAAUGAAUAGAGAAUUUGUUGCAGAAAAUUCUGAAUUUGGAGCAUUAUAUAAAUAGCAUCUGAUGAAAAGUAGUAUAAGUAAUCUAAUAUAUAGUACAUUCAAAUACUAAUGCUAUGUUAUCAAAAAUUAGCAUUAAUAGAAAAAGUUGAAAACAGAAAUAUAGUUAACAAAAUACUAAUCUCAUGGAGAAGUCUGAAAAGUAAUAUUCAAUAGUCAAAUCUAUAUCUAAAAAGUGAAAUUAGAAGAGAUGAUCUUUAAUAAAAAAGUUAAAAUUAUCUUCAGCCUACUUUAUAGAAGAUACAUUAUAUUUACUGAAUUAUAUUACACCAAAAGAAAUGAGAAAGAGUGAUAAAAGUUAUCCUACACACUUUGUCAACACUUUAGUUAACUGUGUAAAAGUGUGCUAUUGCUAAAUCUUUUAUCAGAGGUAGCCAGGCAAGGGCAACUUCUAUGAAAAAUAUUUCAAUUUUUUAAAGCUAUUUUUUUUUAAAUAUAUUUAUA